CACCGACGAAUACACACACUCACCACACACGCACCGACACAUACACACACAACACGCACACUCCCCCCCCCACAUACACACACAAACACACAUAUACACACACUCAAUCACACAUACUUACACACAUGGAUGUGUCAGCUCGGACGUUUAAGUCGUCUGCCAGGGAUGACCUGUCUUCAACACUAACUAUACGUGUGGACAUAACAAUGUUUCCUUUAGUGGUGUUGGUCGGUUUUAUUAAGUAACUGCCCGGGUUCAUUACCCCCAACAUACUGUAACUCUGCCUAGUUGAGAAUUGAUACUGCAAAUUCUGAAACAAUGGUUUAUCUCUACUGUAAAAGAAUAGUGAUUUGCACAAGGCCAGCAAUUGAAGAGGAAAGGGAGGUAGUCAAUUACUUCGACUCCAAUAUUUGACUGGUCCUUAAUUUCAGUGGUUUUCAAACUGUGGUCCGCGGACUACAGGGGUUCCGCAAGGACAAGACAGGGUGUCCGUGAACAGCAAAUACUUUUUAUGGGCAAUUUGAUUUUAUAUAUGGUUUUUAAUCGAAAUCUUUUAAUUGACAAUAAACCUAUUUGUUAAAUACUGUUAAAUA